CCCCGGGGAAGCCUCAGGCUUCAUGUUCUGCGGCAGCCCUGAGGCUGCUGGAACACGGGGCCCGGGAGGAGCUCAGGAGCUGAGCGGGACAGAGUGACAGGGGUGGACUCCGUCCGGGCAUCACUGCAGGCCAGAGGGUGCUGGCUCUGAAUCGAGCUAGCCCCUAUUCAGUCCUGGUGCAGACACUCUCACUUGCUGGGCAAGUGGCUUCACCGCCCUGUGCCUCAGUUUCCCCCUCCCCACAUCCCUCCUUUGAUCCUGUCCCAGGGAAAAACACACCUCCAGGUCCUGGAGCCUUUUCUGAAGUUUCUGGGCCGACAUCUGAGGGCCAACCCACUUUCUCCCAAUGCAAAGCAGGGCCCAGGAAUCUGCAUCUUAAAACCUGCCUUGGCCGGGCACAGUGGCUCACACCUGUAAUCCCAGCACUUUGGGAGGCUGAGGCGGGUGGAUCAUGAGGUCAGGCAUUCGAGACUAGCCUUGCCAGGAUGUUGAAACCCCAUCUCUACUAAAAUUACAAAGAUUAGCCGGGCAUGGUGGCUGGUGCCUGUAAUCCCAGCUACUCCGGAGGCUGAGGCUGGAGAAUCGCUUGAACCUAGGCAGCAGAGGUUGCAGUGAGCUGAGAUUGCACCACUGCACUCCAGCCUGGGCAAUAAGAGCAAGACUCCGUCUAAACACACACACACACACACACACACACAUACACACACACACACACACACACACAACAGGGAUCCAUACGCAAGCCCAAGCUUCUCAAGUUCAAGAACAUACGGUGGGUCCAGCUCCUCCACCCAAAAAGUUCAGUGGACAGGCACCCAGCGUGACACCGCAUAACUGCUGAAUUUGAGCCACAUUAUAAGAAUGGGCUGUAGUUAUUCCCAUUUUACAGAAGAGGGGUUGAGGCCCAGAGAGGGGCAGGAAGUUGCCUGAAGCCACACAGCAGCCCAGAGGCCACGCCCUAUCAGAAUCUCCACCCCGUGCACCUCUCAGGAGAUGCUCCAGGGGUGAUGUGGCCAGCCAACAAGCAGUGGGGUUAGGAUUUGAACCCGGGUCUGCCUGCUCCACGACCCCUUGUUGGCACAGAACAGUGCCAUCUUGGGCCCAGUGAUGACUGCUCUGGUCCUGAAUAACAUGCAUAUUUCUCCCAGGACCA
rnacentral:lncRNA from 10 species